rnacentral:rRNA from 1 species
UGCAGACUUAGUGGCGACGGGUGAGUAAUGUAUGAGCAACCUGCCUUCAAGAGGGGGACAACAGUUGGAAACGACUGCUAAUACCGCAUGAUACAUUUGGGUGGCAUCAUCUGAAUGUCAAAGAUUUAUCGCUGAAAGAUGGGCUCGCGUCUGAUUAGCUAGUUGGUGAGGUAACGGCCCACCAAGGCGACGAUCAGUAGCCGGACUGAGAGGUUGACCGGCCACAUUGGGACUGAGAUACGGCCCAGACUCC